GGCCGCGACGGCCUGCGCCUGCGACACUAUCGAAUUGCGGGGACCCCCUAAAGCUGCACCACACCAAGCCGCGCAGGAAACCGCGCGGUGGCGGGUGUUAACGACACUCGGUACGGUAACAGUGGGUGCAGAUGAUCCAGCACGGCUGGGUGAAAUGGGCAAUCCGCAGCGAAGCCCCUACCGCCUUCCAGGCCACGGGGAACGUUCACAGACUAAGUGGUAGUGGGUGGAGCCGAGCGCUCUGCUUAAGAWAUAGUCGGGCUCGCUGGGAAAACCAGUGAGAGGCAAAACCGUUCCGUAGGUGAACCUGCGGAAGGAUCAUUA
rnacentral:ncRNA from 1 species